CCCGCUGCCGGCGGCGGGGCGGUCGCGGGGCGUAAGGGGGAAGCAGCGUGUAACGGUCCCGGACAGCGGCGGAGUGCGGAGGCACCGCUAGGCGGAGGAGGGAGGCGGCGGCAAGGGAGGCUCCAGUGCUCGCCCGGAACCUUGUUGCCACGGGAGACGGGCGCUUUACGGCAGCGCGUUUGAACGGCGGCGGGGGAAAAGUUGCGCCCGCAGGGCUGAGCGAGAAGCAAACAGCUGGAGCACAGGAACGCCGUUCCCACCGUACGUGAAAUCUGCCGCUCUCCGGCUUGCUUUAGUCGUACUUGCCGGUUUUACGAAGAGGAAGAGAGGUAUAAAAUUCUGUGCCGUAAAAAAUAAACAGAAGAGAGCAAUUUUUCACGGAUACUUAAUAAGCAACCUCUGUUGUGCUUAAUAAACUUAUUUAAUGUAUUAAAAAUUAAAACCAUCAAGCACUUGUACUGUUUUACUCUCGCUUUUCACUUCAGGCAAUAAAAUAAUUUAGUAAGUUUG